UGGGGAAUAUUGCGCAAUGGGCGAAAGCCUGACGCAGCGACGCCGCGUGAGGGAUGAAGGUCUUCGGAUCGUAAACCUCUGUCAGCAGGGAAGAACGGUCACUGUGUUAAUCAGCAGUGAAUUGACGGUACCUGCAAAGGAAGCACCGGCUAACUCCGUGCC
rnacentral:rRNA from 1 species